rnacentral:rRNA from 1 species
GAUCAGGCUCAGAUUGAACGCUGGCGGCAGGCUUAACACAUGCAAGUCGAACGGUAACAGGAGAGAGCUUGCUUUCUUGCUGACGAGUGGCGGACGGGUGAGUAAUGCUUGGGAAUCUGGCUUAUGGAGGGGGAUAACGACGGGAAACUGUCGCUAAUACCGCGUAGAGUCGAGAGACGAAAGUGCGGGACCGCAAGGCCGCAUGCCAUAGGAUGAGCCCAAGUGGGAUUAGGUAGUUGGG